AUAAAGUAAGAUCUGUAGACGGAGUGUCUGGAUGGUAACGGGACGUUUCGCUCCUAUGAACGUUUCGCGCUGAGACGUUUCGCUCCUAAAGACAUUUUGCAAGUGACCACCACGCAGAGGAAGAUUGAAGAAGCUGGAGGACAACAUCACAGCGUCCCAUUUCCUCAAGGUAUGCGGAUCCAUCUAUGCUGGUGUGUUCGACGUUUGAGGAAUUCAUGUGAUGUGAUGUACUGUGAUUAAUGCACUGUGAUUCUGUGAAACAUUGUGCUUGAGAUCCUACUUUGUGUUGAGAUAACUUAUUUAUUCAUGUUUGUAUACGAUAUUUUUUAUGUAUGUGUUAUGUAUUCAUGUGUGCAGUUGAAAACAAUGAAAAUAAAAAAAAUAUUUAUUUUGC
rnacentral:sRNA from 1 species